GGCCUUCGGGUUGUAAAACUCUGUCUUCAGGGAAGAAAAAAAUGACGGUACCUGAGGAGGAAGCCACGGCUAACUACGUGCCAGCAGCCGCGGUAAUACGUAGGUGGCAAGCGUUGUCCGGAAUUACUGGGCGUAAAGAGCGCGUAGGCGGGGAUUUAAGUCAGGAGUGAAAACUACCGGCUCAACCGGUAGCCUGCUCUUGAAACUGAAUUUCUUGAGGGUAUGAGAGGAAAGCGGAAUUCCCAGUGUAGCGGUGAAAUGCGUAGAUAUUGGGAGGAACACCAGUGGCGAAGGCGGCUUUCUGGCAUACAACUGACGCUGAGGCGCGAAAGCGUGGGGAGCAAACGGGAUUAGAUACCCCGGUAGUCCACGCCGUAAACGAUGGGCACUAGGUGUAGGAGGUAUCGACCCCUUCUGUGCCGUAGUUAACACAAUAAGUGCCCCGCCUGGGGAGUACGGCCGCAAGGUUG
rnacentral:rRNA from 1 species